UACAGAGGUCUCAAGCGUUGUUCGGAUUCAUUGGGCGUAAAGGGUGCGUAGGUGGCGCCGUAAGUCAGGUGUGAAAUUUCGGAGCUUAACUCCGAAACUGCAUUUGAUACUGCGGUGCUUGAGGACUGGAGAGGAGACUGGAAUUUACGGUGUAGCAGUGAAAUGCGUAGAGAUCGUAAGGAAGACCAGUGGCGAAGGCGGGUCUCUGGACAGUUCCUG
rnacentral:rRNA from 1 species